rfam:Lactobacillus plantarum bacteriophage LP65, complete genome.
GUGUCUGUAGCUCAGCUAGGUAGAGCAUCGUGUUGAAUCCACGAGGGUCGUAGGUUCAAACCCUACUGGGCAAA